AUUUGGUGCCUUUACUGCCGGAAAAAUAACAGUCAGCAGGAGCUUUCUUGGGUUACCAAGUGUUUGUGGUGAUGACUGCUUUGAAGCAUGAACUUCGCAUUUUUCGAGACGUAUCUGGAAAAUGUCACAGAAGCUACCAAGUUGCAUGUGGAAAAGCCAGUGAGGCAGAAACAAGAUCGACUGAUCUCAUCUCCCAAGCCAGGAAAGAGGGAAAUUCAGCAUUUGGCAUCAGAAGGGUAAAAACAGAGAC
rnacentral:lncRNA from 13 species